GCGCCCCUGCGUUGAGCGCAAGGCAAUAUAUUGCCCGAGCCGAUAAUUGCUGACCGGGAGCUUAGCUAUUCUGGUCGUGUGUAUCCCGUUCUUCGGGAAACCUGACUCCAGGAUGCGGCGCCCACUUCGAUACCGAAGGGUUCGGCAGCAUUUCGCCAAUACGCCAACGCGGGGGCGCC
rnacentral:other from 1 species